AAUUCAAGAAACGGUUUACAAUCCAUUUGACUUCUGACGCAGCUAAAGGGCGAGAGAGCAGAAGAGAGAAUGGGGAGCAGGACCAAUUUCUACAAGAACCCUUCCAUAUCCUACAAGAAAGACUUCGGUCUCUCCUCCGUCCUUCAAAACCUUCGAGCUUACAACAUCGCCACCGGCAAUGCUCCUCUAGCGGAAGAACAACCUCCGGAAGAGGAGAAAAGGGCGUGCCAGAAACGACGCCGUGACCUGAAACAACAGCGCAAUCGAAACCAUGUGAUCGAAGAAGGGCCUAUGUCUCACCAGGAUUACGUCGCAAAAAGAAGGAAAGAACUUAGUUCGGCUCAGACUUACGAGGAAUUAACCGCCAAUGUUUUGGGAACUUCUAGUUCGGGUGCAAAUUUAGUUGCAUAUGAAAGCGAUGAAAGUACUUCAGAAUGUGGAGAAAAGCAAGAUCCUCCAAAUUCAGGUCCCAUAAAGGAAUAUGAUCAAGUUAAGAGCAGAAGUGAGCAACGUUUUCCUGAUCCAGGAGAGCCUGUUUGUAUAGUAUGUGGCAGAUAUGGAGAAUAUAUAUGCAAUGAGACCAAUGAUGAUAUCUGCAGCAUGGACUGUAAAGCAGAGCUGUUGCAAAUUCUUGAACUGGAUAAGGGGCCCUCAAGUUACCAAAUUCCAGAUGUCUCCUCAUCUGGACUUAAAGGUGCCUUACCAUUGCCUGAGUUCGGGGAGGACACCUGGGAUUAUAACCGCCAUUGCUGGUCCAAAAAGAGAUCUAGUCUUUGUACUUUUGAAUGUUGGAAAUGUCAGAGGCCAGGACACCUUGCUGAAGAUUGUUUGGUGGCAGCAGGGCAGAACAAGUCAAGUUCAAUAUCCAGAGGUCUUCUUGGACUGUACAGAAGAUGCCACCAGAUUGGAAGAAACUUGUCAACUGCAAAUUGCAAUGCAUGCCGCAGCUUAUUAGCUUUGGCUACAUGCCUUGACUGCAGUACUGUCCUAUGUGACAAUGCAGGUCAUUUGAACGAGCAUAUCAAGACACAUCUGUCCCAUCAACAUUAUUACUCCCAUAAACUCAAGCGACUGGUAAAAUGCUGCAAAUCAACAUGCCAGGUGACUGAUAUCAGAGAUCUUUUGGUUUGUCACCACUGUUUCGAUAAAGCCUUCGACAAGUUCUAUGAUAUGUACACUGCAACUUGGAAAGGAGCUGGACUUUCUAUCAUUUGGGGCUCUAUUUGCUGUGAAGACCACUUUGCUUGGCACAGGAUGAAUUGUUUGAGCGCGGAUGUGGAAGACAGUGCAUAUAUUAUCAGUCGGAAUGCCCAGAAAGACAAGCGUGUACAACUUAGUGACUUCAUUUUCUGAUGGGGUCGUGAAGUGCCACCCAAUGUCCACUCCCAGACCGUGAAAGGUCUCUCUGGGUCUCUCUCUUUCAACACACAACGAAAGGCAGAGGAGACUCUCCCAAAGCAGUGCAGCUGCGUUCCGGUGGACAGUGAGCCUAGUUCGUCUACCAUAUUUGCUGCAAGUAUUUCCUGGUAAUUUUUAUAUCUAAAUCUCAACUUAUUGUAUUGAGAUUCUUGAGAAUCCCUUGUUUUGGGUUAUAAUUUGUUGUAAUCUUUUUUGUUUGUUUCUUCAUUUUAUCUGAACACAGCGAAUGAUUCACUUUGUUUAUAUGUUGGUUUAACGCCAUUUUUAUUGCUUUAAAUUCAA